GAUGAAGAACGUAGCGAAAUGCGAUAAGUAAUGUGAAUUGCAGAAUUCAGUGAAUCAUCGAAUCUUUGAACGCACAUUGCGCCCGCCAGCAUUCUGGCGGGCAUGCCUGUUCGAGCGUCAUUUCAACCCUCGCAGCCCAUCUGGGCAGCGGUGUUGGGGACCGGCACCACCGACGAAGCCCUUAGGGGCCCAGCCGGCGCCGCCCCCGAAAUACAGUGGCGGUCUCGCUGCAGCCUCCCUUGCGUAGUAGCACACCUCGCACCGGAGCGCAGCGCGGCCACGCCGUAAAACCCCCGACUUUCUGAGUUUGACCUCGAAUCAGGUAGGAAUACCCGCUGAACUUAAGCAUAUCAAUAAGCGGAGGA
rnacentral:misc_RNA from 1 species